rnacentral:rRNA from 1 species
CCUGUGACAUACCUAAAACGUUGCCUCGGCGGGAACAGACGGCCCCGUAACACGGGCCGCCCCCGCCAGAGGACCCCCUAACUCUGUUUCUAUAAUGUUUCUUCUGAGUAAACAAGCAAAUAAAUUAAAACUUUCAACAACGGAUCUCUUGGCUCUGGCAUCGAUGAAGAACGCAGCGAAAUGCGAUAAGUAAUGUGAAUUGCAGAAUUCAGUGAAUCAUCGAAUCUUUGAACGCACAUUGCGCCCGCCAGUAUUCUGGCGGGCAUGCCUGUUCGAGCGUCAUUACAACCCUCAGGCCCCCGGGCCUGGCGUUGGGGAUCGGCGGAAGCCCCCUGCGGGCACAACGCCGUCCCCCAAAUACAGUGGCGGUCCCGCCGCAGCUUCCAUUGCGUAGUAGCUAACACCUCGCAACUGGAGAGCGGCGCGGCCACGCCGUAAAACACCCAACUUCUGAAUGUUGACCUCGAAUCAGGUAGGAAUACCCGCUGAACUUAAGCAUAUCAAUAAGCCGGAG